UACGUAGGGUGCGAGCGUUGUCCGGAAUUAUUGGGCGUAAAGAGCUUGUAGGCGGUUUGGCGCGUCUGCUGUGAAAAUCCGGGGCUCAACCCCGGACUUGCUGUGGGUACGGGCAGACUAGAGUGUGGUAGGGGAGACUGGAAUUCCUGGUGUAGCGGUGAAAUGCGCAGAUAUCAGGAGGAACACCGAUGGCGAAGGCAGGUCUCUGGGCCACUACUGACGCUGAGAAGCGAAAGCAUGGGGAGCGAACAGG
rnacentral:rRNA from 1 species